UACGUAGGGUGCGAGCGUUGUCCGGAAUUAUUGGGCGUAAAGGGUGCGUAGGCGGACUCUUAAGUCAGGGGUGAAAGCCUGAGGCUCAACCUCAGAACUGCCUUUGAUACUGAGAGUCUCGAGACCGGAAGAGGUAAGUGGAACUGCGAGUGUAGAGGUGAAAUUCGUAGAUAUUCGCAAGAACACCAGUGGCGAAGGCGGCUUACUGGUCCGGUUCUGACGCUGAGGCACGAAAGCGUGGGGAGCAAACAGG
rnacentral:rRNA from 1 species